UGAAUAUUUCUUGAAUAUUUCCAUGAAUAUUUUAAUGAAUAUUUUUAUGAAUAUUUUUUGAUUAUUUUUUUGAAUAUCUUUUCUUUCACCAACCAUUAGCCCACUAGUUCCCUAUGAAGAUCACUCCUUUUGUUUUCCUCGCAAUAUUGUAGAAAGCAAGAUACGUGGCAAACACAGGUUUCCUUCUCCCCUUAUCACAUAUAAUCUUUGUAAUGAAUCCUCCCUUUCAAUAUUUCUUGAAUAUUUCCAUGAAUAUCUUCAUGAAUAUUUUCGUGAAUAUUUUCGUGAAUAUUUUAAUGAAUAUUUUGAUGAAUAUUUUUUGAUUAUUGGGGUGAUUAUUUUUUUGAUGAUUUUUUUGAUGAUUUUUUUGAAUAUCUUUUCUUUGACCAACCAUUAGCCCACAGGUUCCCUAUGAAGAUCACUCCUUUUGUUUUCCUCGCAAUAUUGUAGAAAGCAAGAUACGUGGCAAACACAGGUUUCCUUCCCCCCUUAUAACAUAUAAUCGUUGUAAUGAAUCCUCCCUUUGAAUAUUUCUUGAAUAUUUCCAUGAAUAUCUUCAUGAAUAUUUUCGUGAAUAUUUUCGUGAAUAUUUUCGUGAAUAUUUUGAUGAAUAUUUUUUGAUUAUUUUUUGAUUAU
ensembl:lncRNA